GCUGGCGGCACGCCUAACACAUGCAAGUCGAACGCAGUAGCAAUACUGAGUGGCAAACGGGUGAGUAUAAUGUGGGAAUCUGCCUUUUGGUUUGGAAUAACACGGGGAAACUUGUGCUAAUACCGAAUAAGCCCUUACGGGGAAAGUUUUAACGCCGAAAGAUGAGCCCGCACUUGAUUAGCUAGUUGGUAAGGUAAAGGCUUACCAAGGCAACGAUCAAUAGCUGUUCUUAGAGGAAGACCAGCCACAUUGGGACUGAGACACGGCCCAGACUCCUACGGGAGGCAGCAGUGGGGAAUCUUGCACAAUGGGGGAAACCCUGAUGCAGCGAUGCCGCGUGAGUGAAGAAGGCCUUUGGGUUGUAAAACUCUUUCGUCGGGGAAGAAAAUGACUGUACCCGAAUAAGAAGGUCCGGCUAACUUCGUGCCAGCAGCCGCGGUAAUACGAAGGGACCUAGCGUAGUUCGGAAUUACUGGGCUUAAAGAGCUCGUAGGUGGUUAAAAAAGUUGAUGGUGAAAUCCCAAGGCUUAACCUUGGAACUGCCAUCAAAACUUUUUAGCUAGAGUGUGAUAGAGGUAAGUGGAAUUUCUAGUGUAGAGGUGAAAUUCGUAGAUAUUAGAAAGAACACCAAAUGCGAAGGCAACUUACUGGGUCACUACUGUCACUGAGGAGCGAAAGCAUGGGUAGCGAAGAGGAUUAGAUACCCUCGUAGUCCAUGCCGUAAACGAUGUGUGCU
rnacentral:rRNA from 1 species